AUUGAACGCUGGCGGAAUGCUUUACACAUGCAAGUCGAACGAUGGACCUUAGCUUGCUAAGGGGAUUAGUGGCGAACGGGUGAGUAAUAUAUCGGAACGUGCCUUGUAAUGGGGGAUAACUAGUCGAAAGAUUAGCUAAUACCGCAUACGCCCUGAGGGGGAAAGUAGGGGAUCUUCGGACCUUACGUUAUAAGAGCGGCCGAUAUCUGAUUAGCUAGUUGGUGGGGUAAUGGCCUACCAAGGCGACGAUCAGUAGCUGGUCUGAGAGGACGACCAGCCACACUGGAACUGAGACACGGUCCAGACUCCUACGGGAGGCAGCAGUGGGGAAUUUUGGACAAUGGGCGCAAGCCUGAUCCAGCCAUUCCGCGUGAGUGAAGAAGGCCUUCGGGUUGUAAAGCUCUUUCGCAAGGGAAGAAAACUUACCAUCGAAUAAAUGGUGAGGCUGACGGUACCUUGAUAAGAAGCACCGGCUAACUACGUG
rnacentral:rRNA from 1 species